GUCCUUGCAGUGCAACAUAUAGCGCGUUGGACUUUUAAUCGAAAGGUCGUGGGUUCGAAUCCCACCUGGGAUG